CGAACGUUUGCGGCGGGCCUAACACAUGCAAGUCGAACGCACUAGCAAUAGUGAGUGGCGCACGGGUGCGUAACACGUGGGUAAUCAACCCUUCAGCCUGGGAUAACGACUCGAAAGGGUCGCUAAUACCGGAUACGGCGCGAGAGGCUUCGGCUUCUCACGAGAAAGCCACGCAAGGGGCACUGAAGGACGAGCCUGCGGCCCAUCAGCUAGUUGGUGAGGUAAGAGCUCACCAAGGCUAAGACGGGUAGCUGGUCUGAGAGGAUGAUCAGCCACACUGGAACUGAGACACGGUCCAGACUCCUACGGGAGGCAGCAGUGGGGAAUAUUGCGCAAUGGGCGAAAGCCUGACGCAGCCACGCCGCGUGAGCGAUGAAGGCCUUCGGGUCGUAAAGCUCUGUGGGGAGAGACGAAGAAAGCCUGUGAAGAGCAGGCCUUGACGGUAUCUCCUUAGCAAGCACCGGCUAACUCCGUG
rnacentral:rRNA from 1 species